AAGAAAAGUUCAUUCUCUGAUAAAAAAGAUAUUAUUCCAACUCUACCAACACUACCAACAGUCGCUACCUUACCAACACUUCCUACACUACCAACACUCCCUACAUUGCCAACACCAACUAUACCUUCAAUUCCACUACUUCCACCUCUCCAAUCCCUCCCUAAAACGCAAACCCUGCCGGUGUUGGGACAGCAAACAAAGCUUCCAAUUAAACGAAAAGCAAGUGAACUUUCGAAGAAAACUCCAGUCUUUGAUAAUAAAGCAACUCUUCCAACUCUACCGACAGUCGCUACCUUACCAACACUACCAACACUUCCUACACUACCAACACUCCCUACAUUGCCAACACCAGCUCUACCUACAAUUCCACUACUUCCACCUCUGUCUUCUCUCCAAUCCCUCCCUAAAACGCAAACCCUGCCAGUGUUGGGACAGCAAACAAAGCUUCCAAUUAAACGAAAAGCAAGUGAACUUUCAAAGGAAACUCCAGUCUUUGAUAAUAAAGCAACUCUUCCAACUCUACCGACAGUCGCUACCUUGCCAACACUACCUACACUACCAACACUCCCUACAUUGCCAACACCAGCUCUACCUACAAUUCCACUACUUCCACCUCUGUCUUCUCUCCAAUCCCUCCCUAAAACGCAAAACCUGCUGAUAUUGGGACAGCAAACAAAGCUUCCAGUUCAACCAAAAGAAACUGAAUUUUCUAAGAAAAGCUCAUUCUCUGAUAAUAAAGAACUUCUUCCAACUCUACCAACACUUCCCACAAUAGCAACACUGCCAACACUCCCUACAUUACCAACACUCCCUACAUUACCAACUCUACCAACACUCCCAACUAUACCAACACUUCCAGUUAAACGAAAAGCAUCUGAACUUUUGAAGAAAAGUUCAUUCUCUGAUCAAAAAGAUAUUGUUCCAUCUCUACCAUUACCAACACUCCCUACAUUACCAACACUCCCUUUACCUGGCUUACCUGGCUUACCUGGCUUACCU
rnacentral:lncRNA from 1 species